rnacentral:rRNA from 1 species
GACGAACGCUGGCGGCGUGCUUAACACAUGCAAGUCGAGCGGAAAGGCCCUUUCGGGGGUACUCGAGCGGCGAACGGGUGAGUAACACGUGAGUAAUCUGCCCCUGGCUUUGGGAUAGCCACCGGAAACGGUGAUUAAUACCGGAUAGGACCACUUCUCGCAUGGGAUGGUAGUGGAAAGUUUUUCGGCCAGGGAUGUGCUCGCGGCCUAUCAGCUUGAUGGUGAGGUAACGGCUCACCAUGGCUUCGACGGGUAGCCGGCCUGAGAGGGUGAGCGGUCACACUGGGACUGAGACACGGGCCAGACUCCGACGGGAGGCAGCAGUGGGGAAUAUUGGACAAUGGGCGGAAGCCUGAUCCAGCAACGCCGCGUGAGGGAUGACGGCCUUCGGGUUGUAAACCUCUUUCAGCAGGGACGAAGCGAAAGUGACGGUACCUGCAGAAGAAGCACCGGCCAACUACGUGCCAGCCGCCGCAGUAA